AACGAACGCUGGCGGCAUGCCUAACACAUGCAAGUCGAACGAAGCCUUCGGGCUUAGUGGCGCACGGGUGCGUAACGCGUGGGAAUCUGCCCCUUGCUUCGGAAUAACAGUUAGAAAUGACUGCUAGUACCGGAUGAAGUCUUCGGACCAAAGAUUUAUCGGCAAGGGAUGAGCCCGCGUAGGAUUAGGUAGUUGGUGGGGUAAAGGCCUACCAAGCCGACGAUCCUUAGCUGGUCUGAGAGGAUGAUCAGCCACACUGGGACUGAGACACGGCCCAGACUCCUACGGGAGGCAGCAGUGGGGAAUAUUGGACAAUGGACGCAGGUCUGAUCCAGCAAUGCCGCGUGAGUGAUGAAGGCCUUAGGGUUGUAAAGCUCUUUUACCAGGGAUGAUAAUGACAGUACCUGGAGAAUAAGCUCCGGCUAACUCCGUG
rnacentral:rRNA from 1 species